GGGCCAUUAGCUCAGUUGGUUAGAGCCCCCGGCUCAUAACCGGGUGGUCGCAAGUUCAAGUCUUGCAUGGCCCACCA
rnacentral:tRNA from 1 species